AUAGCGUAUAUUAAAGUUGUUGCAGUUAAAAAGCUCGUAGUUGAACUUCAGACCUGGCUGGAUGGUCUGCCUAACGGUAUGUACUGUCCGGCUGGGCCUUACCUCUUGGUGAGCCGGCAUGCCCUUCACUGGGUGUGUCGGGGAACCAGGACUUUUACCUUGAGAAAAUUAGAGUGUUCAAAGCAGGCUUAUGCUCGAAUACAUUAGCAUGGAAUAAUAAAAUAGGACGUGUGGUUCUAUUUUGUUGGUUUCUAGAGCCGCAGUAAUGAUUAAUAGGGAUAGUUGGGGGCAUUAGUAUUGCGUUGCUAGAGGUGAAAUUCUUGGAUUUACGCAAGACUAACUUCUG
rnacentral:rRNA from 1 species